AAGGUUUGAAUCUUAGAAGUACUCUACACUUACAGCUUUAGGUCAUCAAAAACUGGCAAAUAAUUUAAAAGAUGAAAGGAUCAGAGUCACAACUACAGGUUGGAAAGGUUGGCACUGAAAGCAGGUGUCAAUAUGUGUUGGUACAGUGCUGUACAUAAACUGGGAGCGAGAAGCACAAACAGUCCUCACUCAAGGAGAAUGUGGCAUAACUACAGAGAAGUCUACUAUAUAAAGAGCUGCUGAUUCUGGUAAACUUGUUCAUCCUCUUCCUUCCAUAAUGUAGUGUUUUCUCCUGUAUAUUGAAUAGUAGUAGGCUACUUCCAUAAAGUUACUACAUUAUGCCUUCUGUGCAUAGCAGCUGCACUGUCUCUGAAUUAGUAUGUUUUAAAAGUUUCAAGAAAGGUCACCUGAAAUUUUGUCUGUACCCAGUUGUUCUGUCAUAGCAAAUCUUGGCAUUAGCAAACUGAGAGUUAGACCUACCUUUUCAGUAUUUCUUUGACUGCUAGAUAAGUGGUUAGAAGGUUGCUAAAAGGCCUAAGUGUAAUCUAGUUUGUGGAUGAGAAUAUCAGAGCAGAUAAGCAAAUGCACACAGUGAAAAUGCAAGUUACUGGUUUAGUGCUGUGUUUCAACCAAUGUUGAACUAGUGAAUGAAGUUAAGAAAUUGCCUAACCGCAAUACAUGACAGCAUACACCUUGUGCAUCCAUGCAGGCAAAAGGCAGGCUGAAUCCAGUAUUUGCUCUAUUAUGCAUGCAGAUGACCCAGCCACCUGCUGCUGAGACUCCUGCUCCAUUCAAAACACAUGCUCACUUCUGCUUGUGAGGCACAUAGAAGAAAAUAUAGGGCACUAAAUGCAAAAGGAAGUAGCAUUUAUUACCUGGAAGAAUAGCGCAAAGGCCUGAUCUAAGAUAAGGUGUAGUAGCAAACAAAGUACUCCCUUCUUGUUGCUGUCUUGGUAGGAGCAGGAGCACAAGAAAAUGCAACUUUCUCUGUUGCUGUUUCCUACCUCUUGUGUAUGUGCGAGGUCAGGCUGAGAACGGGUGAAGUAUUAGGCUUCAAGAGCCUCAAGUGAAUGCUGUGUGAUAGUAGUUAAGUGUAAGUGGGGAAGGAGUGGUCUUUCUGAAAGAAGAGAAAGUUUAAUAUCUACUGUAAUACUUGAUGUAGUCUUAGUACAUAGCUGUGAAGGAGUACCUCUGAAGGCCUGCAGAUGUUUUGGGGGUUGAUGUGCUGCCUAACUGAAAGGCCAUUUGAUGCCUGGUGCCACCAUUGGGUGACCAAGCGGUUAGCCACCUUUCUUUUGGGUCCAGGCAGUAUGCUUCCCAGCUGCUAAAGGUUUCAACAGAUUUUGAUGUGUUGGGAUAAAUUUAUGGAGGGAUUUUGUGCCCGUGAGAGAGGCACAGGAUGAGAUCGUGACUGGAAAAUUGGGCACAUGUUGGCUGUAAAUGUCAGUCAGUGCAGGUUUUUAGAGAGUAGGUGCAUGGAGGCACAGGAAGGAGAUGUGACACUUGGCUCUAGGGGGGAAACAGGAUCCCAGGGUGUCAUUGGAUACAGAAGGUUAUAGUUUGUUUAUUUAAGUUUCUGUUUGGAUAUAAGCUGUUAAGAGUUCAAAGAGUAGCCCUACCAGAAAUACCAAAGACAAUUGGGUGAAUGGAUCACCAAAUGAAGUCUGGUAGAACUUAAAAGAAUAUGUACACCAACUUUAGUCAGUUGGGAAGAGUAAUUGAUGUAAUAUAUAGCAUUUAAUAAGAUUAAUAUUUAUUUACCAAAAAGUAAACUGUUUACUUUGGACCAGCUACUGGUAUCUUUGAUGAGACUAGUGGCAGCAUCAAAUUCUUUCAUACAAUAGUACUGUUUCAGAGGAAAAAGUGUUCAAUAGCUAUCCAUCCCCUAGGCUGAGUUAAAAAAGGGAUGGUAAAUUGGGAUUUAUGAUAUUUUACACAGGUGCCGAGCUGGUCUCAGUUGCCAUGGCAGCAAAUUAGCACCAGGGACUUCUGUCAUGGUAGGUGCAUUAGGCCAAGCCCUUAGGCCCUCGGGCUUUCCUCUUGCUUUUCAGGCCAGGCUGGCUGUCCGCUGCCACAGAGGCUGCCCCCUUUUCAUUUCCCUUAGGAAAAUCUCAUUGAAGAAAGAAUGAUUUUCCCUGCAUAUCUACGUAAACAUGCAAUUAAGAGGCUGUCUCUGUACCAAGGAGCCCUAUGUACGGCCCAAUAACAUGGAAAGCUGGAACUUCUGGAGAAGUUUGCUCUACUUGGGGCUGUUUUGGAUCAAAAUUAUGAAUAGGAGUUUACACCGAGUGAUUUUUAAUCUAACUUUGUUAUUUGCUGACU